rnacentral:misc_RNA from 1 species
GAUGAAGAACGUAGCGAAAUGCGAUAAGUAAUGUGAAUUGCAGAAUUCAGUGAAUCAUCGAAUCUUUGAACGCACAUUGCGCCCUCUUGUAUUCCGGGGGGCAUGCCUGUUCGAGCGUCAUUAUAACCACUCAAGCUCUCGCUUGGUAUUGGGGUUCGCGGUUCCGCGGCCCCUAAAAUCAGUGGCGGUGCCUGUCGGCUCUACGCGUAGUAAUACUCCUCGCGAUUGAGUCCGGUAGGUCUACUUGCCAGCAACCCCCAAUUUUUACAGGUUGACCUCGGAUCAGGUAGGGAUACCCGCUGAACUUAAGCAUAUCAAUAAGCGGAGGA